UGAAUACGAGAUGCUACGGCAUCGAAGCAGUCUAUGUCAUACUUCCAAGAAAAGCUUGCACUGUCAUAAACAAAUAAUGCCUGUACCAUAACCGACACAGGUGGGUAGGUAGAGUAUACUAAGGGGCGCGAGAUAACUCUCUCUAAGGAACUCGGCAAAAUGACUCCGUAACUUCGGGAGAAGGAGUGCCUUAUUUUAUAAGGUUGCAAUAACAAGAUCCAAGCAACUGUUUACCAAAAACACAGGUCUCCGCUAAGUCGUAAGACGAUGUAUGGGGGCUGACGCCUGCCCAGUGCCAGAAGGUUAAAGAAGUUGGUUAGCAUUAGCGAAGCUGAUAACUGAAGCCCUGGUGAACGGCGGCCGUAACUAUAACGGUCCUAAGGUAGCGAAAUUCCUUGUCGGGUAAGUUCCGACCCGCACGAAAGGCGUAAUGAUUUGGAUACUGUCUCGGAGAGGGGCUCGGUGAAAUAGACUUGUCUGUGAAGAUGCGGACUACCUGCACCAGGACAGAAAGACCCUAUGAAGCUUUACUGUAACUUGAGAUUGAAAUUGGACUUUAUUUGCGCAGUAUAGGUGGGAGACGUUGAAAAUAUUCUUGCGGGAAUAUUGGAGUCAUCAGUGAGAUACCACUCUUAUAAUGUUAGAUUUCUAACUUUGUAUCAUUAUCUGGUCAAAGAACAGUCUCAGGCGGGCAGUUUGACUGGGGCGGUCGCCUCCCAAACGGUAACGGAGGCGCACAAAGGUUUCCUCUGAACGUGUAGAAAUCGUAUCUAGAGUGUAAAGGCAUAAGGAAGCUUGACCGUGAGACCUACAAGUCGAGCAGGGACGAAAGUCGGUCUUAGUGAUCUGACGGUGCUGAGUGGAAAGGCCGUCACUCAACGGAUAAAAGUUACUCUAGGAUAACAGGCUGAUCUCCCCCAAGAGUUCACAUCGACGGGGAGGUUUGGCACCUCGAUGUCGGCUCAUCGCAUCCUGGGGCGGUAGUACGUCCCAAGGGUUGGGCUGUUCGCCCAUGAAAGCGGUACGCGAGCUGGGUUCAGAACGUCGUGAGACAGUUCGGUCCAUAUCCGGUGUAGGCGUUAGAAUAUUGAGAGGAGCCUUCUUUAGUACGAGAGGACCGAGAAGGACAUACCUCUGGUGUACCAGUUAUCGUGCCAACGGUAAACGCUGGGUAGCUAUGUAUGGAGAGGAUAACCGCUGAAAGCAUCUAAGUGGGAAGCCACCUCAAGAUAAG
rnacentral:rRNA from 1 species